GCAGUCGACGGUAACAGGUCUUCGGAUGCUGACGAGUGGCGAACGGGUGAGUAAUACAUCGGAACGUGCCCGAUCGUGGGGGAUAACGGAGCGAAAGCUUUGCUAAUACCGCAUACGAUCUACGGAUGAAAGCAGGGGACCGCAAGGCCUUGCGCGGACGGAGCGGCCGAUGGCAGAUUAGGUAGUUGGUGGGAUAAAAGCUUACCAAGCCGACGAUCUGUAGCUGGUCUGAGAGGACGACCAGCCACACUGGGACUGAGACACGGCCCAGACUCCUACGGGAGGCAGCAGUGGGGAAUUUUGGACAAUGGGCGAAAGCCUGAUCCAGCCAUGCCGCGUGCAGGAUGAAGGCCUUCGGGUUGUAAACUGCUUUUGUACGGAACGAAAAGACUCCUUCUAAUAAAGGGGGUCCAUGACGGUACCGUAAGAAUAAGCACCGGCUAACUACGUGCCAGCAGCCGCGGUAAUACGUAGGGUGCAAGCGUUAAUCGGAAUUACUGGGCGUAAAGCGUGCGCAGGCGGUUAUAUAAGACAGAUGUGAAAUCCCCGGGCUCAACCUGGGAACUGCAUUUGUGACUGUAUAGCUAGAGUACGGUAGAGGGGGAUGGAAUUCCGCGUGUAGCAGUGAAAUGCGUAGAUAUGCGGAGGAACACCGAUGGCGAAGGCAAUCCCCUGGACCUGUACUGACGCUCAUGCACGAAAGCGU
rnacentral:rRNA from 1 species